rnacentral:rRNA from 1 species
UGCGUAGGCGGCCUUGCAAGUCAGAAGUGAAAGGCUACGGCUCAACCGUAGUAAGCUUUUGAAACUGCAAGGCUAGAGUGAAGGAGAGGAAAGUGGAAUUCCUAGUGUAGAGGUGAAAUUCGUAGAUAUUAGGAGGAACACCAGUGGCGAAGGCGACUUUCUGGACUUUAACUGACGCUGAGGCACGAAAGCGUGGGGAGCGAACA